UUAGAGUUUGAUCCUGGCUCAGGAUGAACGCUAGCGGCAGGCUUAACACAUGCAAGUCGAGGGGCAGCGAGAUCAGUGCUUGCACUGAUUGUCGGCGACCGGCGCACGGGUGCGUAACGCGUAUGCAACCUACCCAUUACAGGGGGAUAACACUGAGAAAUCGGUACUAAUACCCCAUAACAUCCAGGGAGGCAUCUUCUUGGGUUGAAAACUCCGGUGGUAAUGGAUGGGCAUGCGUUGUAUUAGUUAGUUGGUGGGGUAACGGCUCACCAAGACAACGAUACAUAGGGGGACUGAGAGGUUAAACCCCCACAUUGGUACUGAGACACGGACCAAACUCCUACGGGAGGCAGCAGUGAGGAAUAUUGGUCAAUGGACGCAAGUCUGAACCAGCCAUGCCGCGUGCAGGAAGACGGCUCUAUGAGUUGUAAACUGCUUUUGUACGAGGGUAAACGCAGAUACGCGUAUCUGUCUGAAAGUAUCGUACGAAUAAGGAUCGGCUAACUCCGUGCCAGCAGCCGCGGUAAUACGGAGGAUUCAAGCGUUAUCCGGAUUUAUUGGGUUUAAAGGGUGCGUAGGCGGUCGGAUAAGUUAGAGGUGAAAUCCCGGGGCUCAACUUCGGAAUUGCCUCUGAUACUGUUCGGCUAGAGAGUAGUUGCGGUAGGCGGAAUGUAUGGUGUAGCGGUGAAAUGCUUAGAGAUCAUACAGAACACCGAUUGCGAAGGCAGCUUACCAAGCUACUUCUGACGUUGAGGCACGAAAGCGUGGGGAGCAAACAGGAUUAGAUACCCUGGUAGUCCACGCAGUAAACGAUGAUAACUCGUUGUCGGCGAUACAGUGUCGGUGACUAAGCGAAAGCGAUAAGUUAUCCACCUGGGGAGUACGUUCGCAAGAAUGAAACUCAAAGGAAUUGACGGGGGCCCGCACAAGCGGAGGAACAUGUGGUUUAAUUCGAUGAUACGCGAGGAACCUUACCCGGGCUUGAAAGUUAGUGACGGAUCUUGAAAGAGGUCUUCCCUUCGGGGCACGAAACUAGGUGCUGCAUGGUUGUCGUCAGCUCGUGCCGUGAGGUGUCGGGUUAAGUCCCAUAACGAGCGCAACCCCUACCGUUAGUUGCCAGCAGGUCAAGCUGGGCACUCUGACGGGACUGCCGGUGUAAGCCGAGAGGAAGGUGGGGAUGACGUCAAAUCAGCACGGCCCUUACGUCCGGGGCUACACACGUGUUACAAUGGCAGGUACAGAGGGCAGCUACCCAGCGAUGGGAUGCGAAUCUCGAAAGCCUGUCUCAGUUCGGAUUGGAGGCUGAAACCCGCCUCCAUGAAGUUGGAUUCGCUAGUAAUCGCGCAUCAGCCAUGGCGCGGUGAAUACGUUCCCGGGUCUUGCACACACCGCCCGUCA
rnacentral:rRNA from 1 species